ensembl:lncRNA DPY19L2P4 DPY19L2 pseudogene 4
GACCGGUAGGUCCGCAACGGCUGCGGGGACAAGACCGUUGAGGCUGCCAGGCGAGUCAGGCCUUUCUGGACCUCGCCUGACUCGGCUGGGCUGUGCCUGAAAUUGACCCAGCUCUAUCAGGGAUUAUGAAAAAACAAGGAGUAAGCCCGAAGCCGCUGCAGUCUUCCCGCCCCAGCCAGUCUAAGCGGCGGUGCGGGCCUCCCCCUUCCCCCCCGCCUCCGCCCCGGAGCCGGAGGUAGAGGAGGUGGAAAAGUCGGCCCUAGGCGGCGGGAGGUCCUUCCGGCGGAGGAUCCGAAAUGUGGAAAAUCGAAAAGGCUUGGAGCUAAAGGUGGUGGCCAAGACCCUUCUUCUCGGCCCCUUCCUGUUGGUCCGUAAUUCCCUGGCGCAGCUCCGGGAAGAGGUGCACGAACUGCAGGCGUGGUGGUUCCCCAGCAGAACCACUUUGGACUUCGCAGUCCUUGUGGCUUAUCUCCAUUGGUAAGAUUUAGUUUCAGUUUGAAAUAUUUAAAAACAUUUGAAUUAAAAAUUGCCAUCUCUCUUUGCAUACAGUAAAACAAUAACUUCUGGCUAUAUUUGUAGAACAUCUUUAUGUGCACCAAUUUAUACAUGUAUUUUGCUUUUUUACAAACCUCAUAUGUGAAACAGCAUUUACAAAAUAGAUGCAUUAGGGGAAUAGUAACUUACGAAUUAAAAUAUUUUUGCUUUACUAAA